GUAACAGUAAAGUUACCCAAGCCAUUCCCCAAUAGUAAAGGCAGCAAAUCCUCCUCCUAGGGUUUCAACUUCAAUACUGUCUAUUUCCAUUUCAAGAACAUCUGUGCGUUCCAACCGGCACAAACUCAAUCGCCGUUCAUGAAUUCCCCUCCAGCGAAGUCUCCGCAUUUAAACGGCGCUCCGACAUCACUGUUAUUUCUCCUUGAUGAACUCAUCUCAGAAAUUCUUUCGCGGCUUCCCGUCAAAACUCUCAUGCAAAUGAAAUGUGUUUGUAAGUCAUGGAAAACCCUAAUCUCCGAUCCCGCCUUUGCUAAAUUGCACCUUCAGCGAUCGCCAAAAAACACCCACUUCUUACUGACACCAGAAUGGUCUAUGCCUGACGAGGAUUGGGAUUGCUGCGUCGUACCCUUUACCGUAACUGAUUUGAUAGAGAGUCCAUUGCUCAUCACUAGCAACUAUCGAUUGAGGAGUAUCACUGUUUCCUAUGGUCCUCAGUCUCGCUACCGAUUGAGGAAUAUGGAUUGCUGGAAGAUAGUUGGUUCAUGUAAUGGAUUGCUCUGCUUGCUCGGUGGUUCUUGGGCUACCGAGAAUCAAAAAUUCUGGCUCCGUUUUUGGAACCCAGCCACGAGGACAUUAUCUGAAAAAUUAGGUUAUCUAACUGAAUUUUGGAGGUUGGCAUUUGGUUAUGAUGUUUCAGCCAACUCUUAUAAGGUGGUGGCUUUCUCUUCAACCAAGGUGAAAGUUUUUAGUUUGAGUGACAAUGUUUGGAAAAACAUUGACUGUUUUCCAACGGUUCCAUUCGGUUUUCAUCCUAGUAGUCCCGGCCGUUACCCAUUUAUGAAUAGUGGUGUUUAUAUAAGUAGUACUAUUAACUGGUUGGCUAUUCGAAAUAAGUCUCAAUAUGAUUGGAAUGAUAUUACCAUUGAGCAAUUUGUGAUUGUCUCGCUCAAUCUUGGCACGGAGACUUACCAGGAGUUGUUGCCACCUCGGGGUUUUGUUGAAGUACCACCUGUCGAGCCAUCUGUAAAUGUGUUGAUGGACUGUCUUUGUUUUUCUCACCGUGCCAAGGGAACUCAUUUUGUUAUAUGGAAGAUGAUGGAAUUUGGAGUUCGAGAGUCUUGGACUUUAUUCCUCAGCAUUAGUUUUCAAAGUCUUCAAAUUUACGAUGGCAUUGAUGAUUGGCUGGCAUAUGGUUCUCAAUUGUUUCUGUUUCCUUUGUAUUUUUCUGACAGUAACGACACACUGAUUAUUGCAAGCAAUCAAGAAGGUGAUGGUUUUUACAACCAACAGGCAAUUCUCUAUAAUUGGAGAUAUAAUAUAGUAGAGGAAAUUACUUCAAAGCACACCGAGAUAUUGUGGUUUUAUACCAAGGAUUAUGUUGAAAGCUUGGUUUCGACCUGUCCAAAUAUCUAGAAUCAUAACUGUCCUGUCACUUGUGGUACGGGCUUGUCAUCAGGCAUCAAGGACCACACCAUCAAUCAACUUCAAGCACAUAAGGCAUUAUUGAUGGUUGUUGGCUUGGUAGGAAGUAAGGAAAAAAGUAUUAUUGGAGCUAUAUUUUCUUCUGUUUUAGUGCUCAUUUGGUAUAAGAUGUUUAUGGCUCUAUUGGUUCCUCUUUUGGACUACUUUGUAAGUGUCGAUAGAAUUUACCGCCAAAUAUGUUGUUUUACAAUUGUACUCCUAUUUGUGUAAGAGAGCCAUUGGGAAGAAUUAUUGUUGCUGAAACAUCCAACUAUAUUUUCUGAUGAUAUCAACCAUUGUUUUGGCAACACAAUUUUUAUUAUGUACAUGUGAUCCUCCCUAGGCCAAACAAUACAUUAAACCACUAGCGUGAAUAAUAUCUGAAACUUCUCCGAAUAUUAUUUUGUAGUUAUCUUUGGAUUGUAUAAUAAUCUGCCCAAAAGUACAUUUUUAAAUAUUUUUCUC